UACGUAGGGGGGCAAGCGUUUGUCCGGAUUUAUUGGGCGUAAAGAGCUCGUAGGCGGUUUGGUAAGUCAGGUGUGAAAUCUCCACGCUCAACGUGGAGGGGCCACCUGAUACUGCCAUGACUGGAGUCCGGUAGAGGAGUGUGGAAUUCCCGGUGUAGCGGUGAAAUGCGCAGAUAUCGGGGAGGAACACCCGUAGCGAAGGCGGCACUCUGGGCCGGUACUGGACGCUGAGGAGCGAAAGCGUGGGGAGCAAACAGGG
rnacentral:rRNA from 1 species